AGUGCUAUGGUCGAGGAUUAGGCGUUAAACUGUAAAUUUAAAAACAGAGGUGACUCUUAGUGCUA
rnacentral:tRNA from 1 species